GUGACUGCGUACCUUUUGUAUAAUGGGUCAGCGACUUAUAUUCUGUAGCAAGGUUAACCGAAUAGGGGAGCCGGAGGGAAACCGAGUCUUAAUUGGGCGUUAAGUUGCAGGGUAUAGACCCGAAACCCGGUGAUCUAGCCAUGGGCAGGUUGAAGGUUGGGUAACACUAACUGGAGGACCGAACCGACUAAUGUUGAAAAAUUAGCGGAUGACCUGUGGCUGGGGGUGAAAGGCCAAUCAAACCGGGAGAUAGCUGGUUCUCCCCGAAAGCUAUUUAGGUAGCGCCUCGUGAAUUCAUCUCCGGGGGUAGAGCACUGUUUCGGCUAGGGGGCCAUCCCGGCUUACCAACCCGAUGCAAACUGCGAAUACCGGAGAAUGUUAUCACGGGAGACACACGGCGGGUGCUAACGUCCGUCGUGAAGAGGGAAACAACCCAGACCGCCAGCUAAGGUCCCAAAGUCAUGGUUAAGUGGGAAACGAUGUGGGAAGGCCCAGACAGCCAGGAUGUUGGCUUAGAAGCAGCCAUCAUUUAAAGAAAGCGUAAUAGCUCACUGGUCGAGUCGGCCUGCGCGGAAGAUGUAACGGGGCUAAACCAUGCACCGAAGCUGCGGCAGCGACGUUUAUGCGUUGUUGGGUAGGGGAGCGUUCUGUAAGCCUGCGAAGGUGGCCUGUGAGGGUUGCUGGAGGUAUCAGAAGUGCGAAUGCUGACAUAAGUAACGAUAAAGCGGGUGAAAAGCCCGCUCGCCGGAAGACCAAGGGUUCCUGUCCAACGUUAAUCGGGGCAGGGUGAGUCGACCCCUAAGGCGAGGCCGAAAGGCGUAGUCGAUGGGAAACGGGUUAAUAUUCCCGUACUUGGUGUUACUGCGAAGGGGGGACGGAGAAGGCUAUGUUGGCCGGGCGACGGUUGUCCCGGUUUAAGCGUGUAGGCUGGUUUUCCAGGCAAAUCCGGAAAAUCAAGGCUGAGGCGUGACGACGAGGCACUACGGUGCUGAAGCAACAAAUGCCCUGCUUCCAGGAAAAGCCUCUAAGCAUCAGGUAACAUCAAAUCGUACCCCAAACCGACACAGGUGGUCAGGUAGAGAAUACCAAGGCGCUUGAGAGAACUCGGGUGAAGGAACUAGGCAAAAUGGUGCCGUAACUUCGGGAGAAGGCACGCUGACACGUAGGUGAAGUGAUUUACUCAUGGAGCUGAAGUCAGUCGAAGAUACCAGCUGGCUGCAACUGUUUAUUAAAAACACAGCACUGUGCAAACACGAAAGUGGACGUAUACGGUGUGACGCCUGCCCGGUGCCGGAAGGUUAAUUGAUGGGGUCAGCGCAAGCGAAGCUCCUGAUCGAAGCCCCGGUAAACGGCGGCCGUAACUAUAACGGUCCUAAGGUAGCGAAAUUCCUUGUCGGGUAAGUUCCGACCUGCACGAAUGGCGUAAUGAUGGCCAGGCUGUCUCCACCCGAGACUCAGUGAAAUUGAACUCGCUGUGAAGAUGCAGUGUACCCGCGGCAAGACGGAAAGACCCCGUGAACCUUUACUAUAGCUUGACACUGAACAUUGAGCCUUGAUGUGUAGGAUAGGUGGGAGGCUUUGAAGCGUGGACGCCAGUCUGCGUGGAGCCGACCUUGAAAUACCACCCUUUAAUGUUUGAUGUUCUAACGUGGACCCGUAAUCCGGGUUGCGGACAGUGUCUGGUGGGUAGUUUGACUGGGGCGGUCUCCUCCUAAAGAGUAACGGAGGAGCACGAAGGUUGGCUAAUCCUGGUCGGACAUCAGGAGGUUAGUGCAAUGGCAUAAGCCAGCUUGACUGCGAGCGUGACGGCGCGAGCAGGUGCGAAAGCAGGUCAUAGUGAUCCGGUGGUUCUGAAUGGAAGGGCCAUCGCUCAACGGAUAAAAGGUACUCCGGGGAUAACAGGCUGAUACCGCCCAAGAGUUCAUAUCGACGGCGGUGUUUGGCACCUCGAUGUCGGCUCAUCACAUCCUGGGGCUGAAGUAGGUCCCAAGGGUAUGGCUGUUCGCCAUUUAAAGUGGUACGCGAGCUGGGUUUAGAACGUCGUGAGACAGUUCGGUCCCUAUCUGCCGUGGGCGCUGGAGAACUGAGGGGGGCUGCUCCUAGUACGAGAGGACCGGAGUGGACGCAUCACUGGUGUUCGGGUUGUCAUGCCAAUGGCACUGCCCGGUAGCUAAAUGCGGAAGAGAUAAGUGCUGAAAGCAUCUAAGCACGAAACUUGCCCCGAGAUGAGUUCUCCCUGAGACUUAGAGUCUCCUGAAGGAACGUUG
rnacentral:rRNA from 1 species